UACGGAAGGCAGCAGUGGGGAAUAUUGCACAAUGGGCGCAAGCCUGAUGCAGCCAUGCCGCGUGUAUGAAGAAGGCCUUCGGGUUGUAAAGUACUUUCAGUCGUGAGGAAGGUGUUAAGGUUAAUAACCUUAGCAAUUGACGUUAGCGACAGAAGAAGCACCGGCUAACUCCGUGCCAGCAGCCGCGGUAAUACGGAGGGUGCGAGCGUUAAUCGGAAUUACUGGGCGUAAAGGGCACGCAGGCGGUUAAUUAAGUUGGAUGUGAAAUCCCCGGGCUUAACCUGGGAAUGGCAUUCAAGACUGGUUAGCUAGAGUCUUGUAGAGGGGGUAGAAUUCCAUGUGUAGCGGUGAAAUGCGUAGAGAUGUGGAGGAAUACCGGGUGGCGAAGGCGGCCCCUGGGACAAAGACUGACGCUCAUGUGCGAAAGCGUGGGGAGCAAACGAGGAUUAGAU
rnacentral:rRNA from 1 species